rnacentral:lncRNA from 1 species
UUUUUUCUUUGGAACAGAAAGUCAGCUGCUGCCGCCGGUAUCAAACUAAAGAGAAAUUCAACCAGAAAAUGAAAUACAACUGAAUGUCGAACUCAGCCGGGUUGGGCUCAGAGGGAUGAACAGGUCCACUUGUCCUCUACACAAAAAAAGAGACUGAAGAAGCUGUUUGAGUAUGCACAGAAACUGUCAUCAAGGGAGAGUCCAAUUUUAGUGAAAGUUGAAAAGGAGGUGAAUAUGUGGUGCGAGGCUAUGCACAACAAACAGGUGACCCUUUGGUUCUGGAGAACAAGUCACCCGCACAAACAAUGUAGGGGUUCACAAUGGCUUGGGAGAAUCUUGCUCAAGCAUGUCAUGGGUUUGCCGCAAUCAGAAAUCAAACUUGUAGGAGCUGAUAUCUGGGAAAGCGCGUUUGCAGGUAGCAGCUGUUGCUCCGGCUGGAGUUCAGAGGCAGGACUCAGGUGGGGCUUGGGGAGCAACGAAGCUAGGCAGGCACUUAGUCCUGGGAGCCCUGGAGGGGAUGCUCAGCAGAUAAUCAAAAUGGCAUUUCUGGCUCCUGGAGCAAGGCAGAAGCCAGCCAAGAGAACCCAGGGCAGGGGCAAGAAGUCAAAGCUGACCUCGGAGCAAACUUACCUUUGUGCUAUGUCGCCAGGCAGCAGACUACCCAUCCUUAACCUUCCUGUUCUAAAGUUGGAAUCAGUCCUAAAAAUUAUGGCAGGGCCAAGCCUACAGAUCUGAGAGGAGGAUCGAAGGUGCUUAGGUAUAGAGAAGAGGGCUGCAGAGCUAGGAACCUGGGAAGGUGUGAGAAAAAUCGCCCAAGGAGAAGCGCAGCUGGCAGCUCGGGGUCAGACUGCUGCAGAGGCCCCGGUCAAGUCAAGUAUGGUAGCAUCUGGUUUUCCUUCUUUACAGGAGAACCUUUACAGGAAGUUCUCAGUGUGUGGCUGCCUGGAUAAAGGUUAGGGCAGUUUGUACUGUGCCAACUUGAAUAACUUGGGAUCUACAUUUCCCAGAGUUCUCUCCCUGUACAGGUCCAGGCAGGAGUUGGUCCAAAGAGGAAUGUGCGCGAGACAGAAGGUGGAGGUGGAGCAGCAGCUGUUGCCUUCUGAAGACUGUUGUGGUUAGAAGUGGUUGCAGAUAGACGCAAAGGUGCCCAUGGGUUCCAGCCUGUCCUUGUUCUCUCCUCCUGAUCUACGUCUUCUUUCCAACUGCUGACCCUCUUGACUGACAGUGGCCCUCAACUCACCACCAGAUCCUUGACAGUGAUCCACAAAGGUGCUAGCUACCCAGAGGCACAGCUGCCCACUGACCUCUCACGAGCCUUGCCUCAGCCAUGCCAUUUCAGUGCUGGAUGUGCUUAACUUCUAUGAUUGACCAAAUGGUGACCUCUCUUCUGAUCACCAACUUUCCUCCUGAUCCUUCACUUCCCCAGCUCCUCCCACCAUUAUGUAAGGUCUCCUUCCUCUAAUAAUUUCUUUUCCUGUAACUUGUAGUGUUUCAGCUUCCCUGAAUAACUUCUGGCUGUGUGACUAGCAGCCUGUGUAGACUCCUGGGAAAUUGAAGCUUCCACCUGCUUAUUUAUUGUGAAGAGUCUUUGGUUGUAAGAGACAGCAAGCCAUACUGAAUUUAUUUAAGCAAAAAAGGGGACCUUUAUUGGCUCAUAUCCUCAACCCACUCAAAUGAAGGGGUGACUGGAGCCAGGGGUUCAAAAACUACUGGUCUCUUAUCUCUUCUGCUCUUUUCAUGUUAGCUUUAUUCUUUCCUCCAUCGGGAAAGACUGAUCAGCCCAGGGUUGGUCAAGUGUCCCCUACCUGGUCCAAUCACAGGCCAGAGGAAUGAGGCAUUGGAACCGACCCAGCCCGGAUCACUUGCCCACCUCUGUGACGCAGGGUCGAGUCAAUUAUCAGAGGAAAUGUAGCACAAAUGUGGCCACUGGGAGUAUUGUUGGGAGCCAAGAAGCUGCCUUCAUUACAUCUACUGCAUUCCAUUUUGUAAGUUAAACUGGGCACUUUGGAGCACAAGAAAAGUUCUUUUUAGCUAAGGUACCAAAGAGAUAUCCAGCAGUUGGAAGACACAAAUAGAUUGCCUAGGCCGCUCAUGGAAUCUGAUAUUACACUAAUGUUUAAGAACUUCUUGCACUAUACUGGAAACCUUACAAACAACCCCCAGGUUAUUAUUGGGCAUCUCUAGAUGGAACGCUAAAACAUGUCUCAUUAGAGGCUUGCUAAGACAGGCAGAAUUCUAACAACGAAAGAGCUAAUACCUUCUUCAUUUGUGGAUAUUCUAAGAAACAAGAGAAUGAAAGGGUAAGAAGAAAAAUGUAAAUCUUAAUUAGGAAGCAAAAGGAGUGACAGAUGGAGACUUACAUCUUUACCACAUUGAGUCUUCCAAACCACAAACAUGGUACCUCUCCAUUGGUUUAGGAAUUCUUUUAUGUCUUUAUCAAUAAAGACUAAGUUUUCUCCGUAGAAGUUUUGACCAUAUUUUAUUAGACUUAUUCCUAGAUAGUGUGUAUAUUUUGGUCCUAUUAUAAAUGGUAUUUUUAAAACUAAAUUUUCUAAUUGUUUGCUAUUGGUGUAUAGGAAAGCAAUUUUCCUUUUGGCAAAGAUCUUAUGUCUGGAAACUUUAAUGAACUUUCUCAUUAGUUCUAAGGGUUUGUCUGGAGAGGCUGUUGAAUUUUCUAUAUAUUAUCUCAUAAUUUUCACAUGAAAGUUAAUUUUCCUUAGGUGACAAAUACAAAUUAAGUAAUGUAAAUUUAGGACCAUAAUACCCAGUAUUAAUUUUUCCCUGCUUUAAUAAGUAACAUUUAUUUAGCUCUUACUGGAAAUCACAUGGUCUAUGGAAGUGUUUUGCAAAGUAUGUUCCAUCAACCAAGAGAAGGUUUUCAUAUUUCAUAUUAUAUUCUUUUCUUGGCAAUUCACAAAGGCCCUGAGAAGUCCUUCAAAGAAACCUCUCUACCUCGGUUAAAUCCUGCAAUACAAAUGUACUUCAUCAAGGAAGGAACCCCUUCAAGUAAUACCUCUAGCCUUCUGAGGAACUAUUUUUUAUAAAGAGCACACUUUGGGAAAUGAUGGUCUCGAAACAUAGUCAUCAUGAAAACUAGUUAACGCCAAUACUUUUUCAAAGAAUCGACCAUCUUUUUCAUUAUAUUCUUUGGAAGCUAAGCUGGGUAGGACAAGGCUCUAUUUGGCUUUUUCUUUCUACUCUUUAGUCUUUAACAAUAACUCCCUAUGACUCAAUGCCAGCAUUAUAAAAGAAAGAAAAAUAUGCAUAUUAAUCUCAUGAGACUAUUUGAGACUUCUAUUCCUUAGGAAAGGGCCACAGCUGGUCACAGUGGGAGAUCAUCCUUAUAAUUCCAUCAAUACUUUUUGAGUGACAUGCAGAUGACAUUUUUUUCUGCUUUUAUUCCUCUUCCUGCUAACCCCUGGCUAUCACUCCUAUGCCAUAUUUUUUCCUUACAUUGUACAGAACCACACGUAUUUAUCAAAAGCUGUCCUUUCUGUGUUCUGGAUUACGUACAAAGGCUACAAAUUUGUCAGAGUACAGCUAAAUAAAUGGAAAUGGAAAAACCCACAAGUAGGAACAUAUUUUAUUAGGGUAAAAAAAUUCUAAUUAUGGAAGUUUUCUUUGUACUGCUAUUUCUGAUCAGACAGAGUGUUUAUUAGAUCAUUUGACAGGAUAAUGAUGAAUGUCUAUCUCAGUGGGUCUCACCCUGCUGAACAUCAAAAUCAUUUGUGGAGGUCUGAAAAAAUAGAAAUACCUGGGACCCUCUGAAUGAGAAUCUUCAGGCGGCAGCUUAAGCACUUGUACUUUUAAAGGCCCUGAAAUUUAGUCUCUGGUAUUUAUUUUGUGGCUUUUCUUUUUUAAGAAACCAUUUUUCCAUUUGGGCUUGGCUAAAUUUUCCUUCUAAAUUUGAUUAAAAUAAUAAAGAACAGGCCAGCCCAGUGGCAUAGUGGUUAAGUUUGCAUGCUCUGCUUUGGUGGCCCGGGGUUCACUGGUUGGGAUCCUGGGUGUGGACCUACACACCACUCAUCAAGCCAUGCUGUGGCAGCCCCCUACAUAGAAGAACUAGAAGGACUUACAACUAGGUUAUAGAACCAUGUACUGGGGCUUUGGGGAGAAAAUAAAAACAGGAAGAUUGGAAAAGAUGUUAGCUUAGGGCCAAUUUUCCUCACCAAAAAACAGCCUGCAAAAAGAAAAGAAAAGAAAAGAAAAGGAGGCCAUUAGAAUCAUCUUUAAAAAAAUAAAUUAAAAAAGAAUAUUUUUAAAGAAAACAAAUCAAUUCCAAACUCACUUUCCAAAUGCUAACAAAUUUUUUCCACAUCUGGCUCUAGUCCUUGUUCAUGUGAAGAAAUUUUUGAAUUCUGAAUUUGUCACUUAGCAUUUUACUUUUUAAAAUUUCCAUGCUAUCCUAUAGUGAUAAUACUUGUCACUUUAGGAAUUGUAUAAUAUCUCAGCAAGUAUUUCUUUGUAUCAUAACUUAGCUUACAAUUCCCUUACUAUGGGACAUUUAAGCUGUUUCUCUCUUUUUAGUUACUCUAGAGAAAAUGGCAAUGAAGAAUUUGAUGUGUAUGGAUUUUGCUUUUCUUUUGAACCAAUUCCUUUGGGAUAAUUUUCUGGAAAUCUAGUUAUUAGGUCAAAGGAUAUGAACGCUUUUUAUGACUCUUGUUAAUGAUUACUAAAUUGUUUUCCAAAACGUUGAAGAAAAUUGAGAAGCCAUGCCCCAACUCCAUGGCCUAAUUGCUGAGGCUCUCAGGGAGGGGCAGGCAAUACUAGAGGUCUGUUGGGUGCUUCCAGGACAGACAGGAGUGGCUCCAAACGUACCAGUCGUAUCACUCUGCUUAAGAAGAAAGGCACGAAACCUAACAACCUCACCAGUAUUAAGGCUCUGCUCAACCAUCUCAUCUACCGUGUGCAGUGCUUUCUUGCAUUCUCUCUAAUCCUCAAAAUAACCGUGCAGAAUUAGAUCUUACUGCCCCUCAUUUUACGGAGGAGGAAAGGGUGGGAAGAGAGGCUUGGUAACUCACCUGAGGGCCACAUAGUGUGUUAGUACUGAAGUGAGCAUUUGAACCCUGUGUUUUGCUGCUGCUAUGCCACACUGCAUUUCAUACCACUGGUUCCUGAAGCAGCCACAGAAUCUCACCAAUUAGAUACCUCCUAAGUCAUAAAUUGGCUGUAAAGUGGAAUAUGAUAAUAGAAGUGGUAGGUUUAAAAUGUCCUCAAUUCUCUACCUCUUCUCCAACUUGGAGGUGGGGUCUAUGGAUGUUCCCCUUGCAUCUGGGUUGACCCGGGGACUUUUUUUGACCAAUAGAGUACAGCAUGAGUGAUGGUGUCUAGGUCUGGGCCUGGAUCUAAGACACCUGGCAGCUUUAGCCUUCAUCUUCUUGGAGUCCUAAGCCACUAUGUAGAGAGGUCCAGAUUCCUUGCUGGAGAGACCACAAGGAGAAAGAAAUAAAUGCUUGGCCAUCCAGCUGUUCCAGCCAUUGCAGUUGAGGUACUAGACAUGUGAGUGACCCCAUCUUGGAUCCUCCAACCUCAGUCAAGUCCCCCAGCCAACAACAUGUGGAGCAGAAACAAACCAUCCCAAUGAGCUAAUAAUCAGUGGAUGUUUGGGGGUGGUUUGGUAUGCAACAAUAGAUAACCGAAGAAAUAUAUUUUAUUUUGGUGAAUCUCAAAUGCAGAAAGAGUACCAGUGAUACAUUCAAGCUUCCCUGACCCUAAAACAAGCAGAAUGAAACUCAUGGACAUUUAUCACUUCUCAUCCCACCUAGUACUUACCUCUGUCACAGCGCUGACCCCGCCGCACACGGUCUUUGCGUAUGUUCACAUCCACCUUCCCUACCAGAUAGGGGUAUUCACCUUGGUAACCACAGCACCUUAUACGAAGCCUGGCAGAAAAUAGUUGCUUACUGCCUAUUUGUUGAAUAAAUCUUGACUUGCUCUUGAUUGAUUGAUGAAAGCACUUGGAAUAAUAGCUUUUAUUUCUUGGGCUCAGCACUGUGCAGAGUAUUUUGUAUGGAUUAUCUCAUGUAAUCUUCACAACAACCCCAUGAAGAAGGGUCUGAUUAUUAUCUUCAUUUGACAAAUGAGGAAACUGAGAAGGUAGGUAACGUUACUUAGAUAAUAACUGUUCUUUAAGUACUUAUGCUGAGCAUGGCAAUACUUCAGGCUUUGGCAGCAAUUAAAUGAAUGAAGCCAUUGCAGUGUGGUGCACCAAACCCCAAGAAGUCUGGUUGGCUGAUUGUGUCACGGUAGACAGCACUAGCUCUGUCAGGACUUGCUCCCAACUGCAGGAAUGUCAUGGAGGGUCAUGCAGGUCAUGUCCUGCACAAGGGCAUCCAGCCCAAGGGCAGCGGCAGCUGAAAUCCAGGAUGUGCUAUUUUACUCUGCUCACCAUGGAGCCUGGCACAGGGCAGUAUCUGCCUGGGGGCAGGGACACCUGUUGCCUAAUUUGCACAAUGCCACUGUGUGGGCUAGUGGCAGACCUGGGUAGAACACAUUAGUCUGUGGGAAAGUGCAGCGCCUGAUCAAACAGGAGACAGAGGUUACUAAGAAACUUCCCAGGUUUUAGAAUAAAUAGUGUGAGUGAAAUGGUUCCAAUGGAAUGGCAGGGGGUGCGUGGAGGCUGGGAACAAUGGAAGAUUUGGGUGAAGUGUGUGAGCUCCCGUAUUGCUACAUGCUCUGCCUCAUCACUUCUGGGAGUGGAUCAUCUUGGCUAAAGGUCUCAUCCCCAGGGGAGUUCCCAUCUCCCUGCAGUUAUUUGACACUCCUGGAUCUUGUGGUUUUGGACCAUCUCAGCUGCAACGGUGCAGAGAAAGGUAUGCAAACUAACAGAAACACUGCACAAAAGGUCAUAAACCCCACCCAGAGAGGGCUCACAACAGUUUUCUUAUAGAGCCCAAGCAAUUCAAGCAUCCAUAUACAGGCACCCAGCAUGGUCGGGGGCCUCCUGCGGGGACUCCCACAGUUGGGCCAGAAAGAGAUACCUUCCAUGGAAUAAAAUGAGAUCCUUCCUGUAGGAAAGGCAGGACAUUUCUCAACUAUGUGCCCCCUGAAGUUGGAGGCGCUCUCAAGGGAAGACAACUGGGCUGACUUUUUAAAGAGCCUCAUGGAUGAUGUUUUGAUGAAAUUCCCCACGGCCCUGUAUCAAGCCCUCACUCAGCUUUUCACCAGACUCAGAAACUUCACCACGUUGGAGUCCCAGAACUGAAAGCUGAGUCAAACAAAAAACAUUCACGAGAUGUGCACCAGAUGCAGAAAACAAGACAGCCACUUAUGUAAUUUACAAUGACAAAAAUCUACCUGUCAGGUGGACCAGUGCCUUCCACAGUGCCUCAUCAGAAUGUUGCUCGGUGGGUAUGGAGUCAGAACGAGGGGCAUGAGUUAUAUAAUGUCAAUGAAUCAUUGCGUCGGGUUCUGAUCUGACCGUUUCCACUUAUCCAAGAUGGCAGCUUCUAGAUUAGAUCACAUUGGGGACCUCCUCCCUUAGGUGGGCAUGGCCCGCUUCUUUUUUUUUGUCUCCUUUGGGUGCUUUAUUAUUCAUCUCCUUUUGACUGACAUAUUCCUUUUUAGAUAUGGCUUUACCCUCUCUCUUGCUCUACUUACCAGAUCCUUAUUCUUUUUUUUUUUUAACAUCAGGAUAAUAUCAGAGAAUCUGACAGAAGCUAUCCACAACUAUUUCUGCAGAAAAGCGCCAACCUUAUAAAACCAUCUGAACAAUUUCAUGGGGUUUGUGGAUGUCCUUGAAGCUGUUUUAUGACUCCUAGCUUAAAAUCCCUGCCUUCGGCGGACCUUUGCCCAUUUAGAAUUGAUGUUAAAGUUUAAGUCUAACAGCAUCAUCUUAUUUUCCUCAUGGCCAAGUUCUUAGGAUCACCUUCCACCCUCACCUCUCUUCUCAUUCCUCCACCUUCUAAUCUUAAACUAGGGCCACCCCAUGACCUCUGAACUGCCCUGACCUGUGGCCACCUCCUAAGCCACAGCUGCUGGGUGGAUCUCUGGUUAUGAUCCCAGCUAAUCCUGUGCUCUCGUCUUCUCCCCUUUGACUCCUGUCUUGUACUUUCUCUCAUAUUCCAGUUACCCCUCUCCUCUAUUCUUCCCUCAUUCCUUUCAUCCUGGCAGGCAUUGCCCAUGUCCCCACACACAGGAUAAGACUGAUAAUCUCAUUUGCCCCCUGCUUUCUGUCCCUCCUUCCCA